rnacentral:rRNA from 1 species
ACGAAGGAUCCAAGCGUUGUCCGGAUUUACUGGGUUUAAAGGGUGCGUAGGCGGAUGCUUAAGCCAGUGGUGAAAUCUCUCAGCUCAACUGAGAAACUGCCAUUGGAACUGGGUAUCUUGAAUUCGAUUGAGGUAGAUGGAAUAUAACAUGUAGCGGUGAAAUGCUUAGAUAUGUUAUGGAACACCGAUUGCGAAGGCAGUCUACUAAGUCGACAUUGACGCUGAGGCACGAAAGCGUGGGUAGCGAACAGG